AGUGAACGCUGGCGGUAGGCCUAACACAUGCAAGUCGAACGGCAGCACAGUAAGAUCUUGCUCUUACGGGUGGCGAGUGGCGGACGGGUGAGGAAUACAUCGGAAUCUACUUUUUCGUGGGGGAUAACGUAGGGAAACUUACGCUAAUACCUCAUACGACCUACGGGUGAAAUCAGGGGAUCUUCGGACCUUGCGCGAUUGAAUGAGCCGAUGUCGGAUUAGCUAGUUGGCGGGGUAAAGGCCCACCAAGGCGACGAUCCGUAGCUGGUCUGAGAGGAUGAUCAGCCACACUGGAACUGAGACACGGUCCAGACUCCUACGGGAGGCAGCAGUGGGGAAUAUUGGACAAUGGGCGCAAGCCUGAUCCAGCCAUACCGCGUGAGUGAAGAAGGCCUUCGGGUUGUAAAGCCCUUUUGUUGGGAAAGAAAAGCAGCAGGUUAAUACCCCGCUGUUCUGACGGUACCCAAAGAAUAAGCACCGGCUAACUUCGUG
rnacentral:rRNA from 1 species